rnacentral:rRNA from 1 species
CCCUUAGAUGUUCUGGGCCGCACGCGCGCUACACUGACGAAUGCAACGAGCUUAUAACCUUGGCCGAAAGGUCUGGGUAAUUUCCAAAUUUCGUCGUGAUGGGGAUAGAUUAUUGCAAUUAUUAAUCUUCAACGAGGAAUGCCUAGUAAGCGCAAGUCAUCAGCUUGCGUUGAUUACGUCCCUGCCCUUUGUACACACCGCCCGUCGCUCCUACCGAUUGAAUGGUCCGGUGAAGCGUUCGGACCGUGGCCUUUGGACGGUUCGCCGUCUGUUGGCUGCGGGAAGUUCGUUAAACCUUAUCAUUUAGAGGAAGGAGAANUCGUANCA